AAAGGAAUAGACGGGGACCCGCACAAGCAGCGGAGCAUGUGGUUUAAUUCGAAGCAACGCGAAGAACCUUACCAAGACUUGACAUUCAGUGACUGCCUAAGAGAUUAGGAGUUCCGCAAGGACACUGGGACAGGUGGUGCAUGGUUGUCGUCAGCUCGUGUCGUGAGAUGUUCGGUUAAGUCCGGCAACGAGCGCAACCCUUGUGAUAUGUUGGCAAUAUUAAGUUAGCAACUCAUAUCAGACUGCCGUGGAUAACACGGAGGAAGGCGGGGACGACGUCAAAUCAUCAUGCCCCUUACGUCUUGGGCUACACACGUGCUACAAUGGGCGCAACAGACUGCGACGAUACCGCAAGGUGGAGUAAAUCAGAAAAAAGCGUUCUCAGUUCGGAUUGUGGGCUGCAACUCGCCCACAUGAAGUCGGAGUUGCUAGUAAUCCCGGAUCAGCACGCCGGGGUGAAUGCGUUCCCGGGUCUUGUACACACCGCCCGU
rnacentral:rRNA from 1 species